rnacentral:rRNA from 1 species
GGGUUGUGAGGUUAAGCGACUAAGCGUACACGGUGGAUGCCCUGGCAGUCAGAGGCGAUGAAGGACGUGCUAAUCUGCGAUAAGCGUCGGUAAGGUGAUAUGAACCGUUAUAACCGGCGAUUUCCGAAUGGGGAAACCCAGUGUGAUUCGUCACACUAUCAUUAACUGAAUCCAUAGGUUAAUGAGGCGAACCGGGGGAACUGAAACAUCUAAGUACCCCGAGGAAAAGAAAUCAACCGAGAUUCCCCCAGUAGCGGCGAGCGAACGGGGAGCAGCCCAGAGCCUGAAUCAGUGUGUGUGUUAGUGGAAGCGUCUGGAAAGGCGCGCGAUACAGGGUGACAGCCCCGUACACAAAAAUGCACAUACUGUGAGCUCGAUGAGUAGGGCGGGACACGUGGUAUCCUGUCUGAAUAUGGGGGGACCAUCCUCCAAGGCUAAAUACUCCUGACUGACCGAUAGUGAACCAGUACCGUGAGGGAAAGGCGAAAAGAACCCCGGCGAGGGGAGUGAAAAAGAACCUGAAACCGUGUACGUACAAGCAGUGGGAGCACGCUUAGGCGUGUGACUGCGUACCUUUUGUAUAAUGGGUCAGCGACUUAUAUUCUGUAGCAAGGUUAACCGAAUAGGGGAGCCGAAGGGAAACCGAGUCUUAACUGGGCGUUAAGUUGCAGGGUAUAGACCCGAAACCCGGUGAUCUAGCCAUGGGCAGGUUGAAGGUUGGGUAACACUAACUGGAGGACCGAACCGACUAAUGUUGAAAAAUUAGCGGAUGACUUGUGGCUGGGGGUGAAAGGCCAAUCAAACCGGGAGAUAGCUGGUUCUCCCCGAAAGCUAUUUAGGUAGCGCCUCGUGAAUUCAUCUCCGGGGGUAGAGCACUGUUUCGGCAAGGGGGUCAUCCCGACUUACCAACCCGAUGCAAACUGCGAAUACCGGAGAAUGUUAUCACGGGAGACACACGGCGGGUGCUAACGUCCGUCGUGAAGAGGGAAACAACCCAGACCGCCAGCUAAGGUCCCAAAGUCAUGGUUAAGUGGGAAACGAUGUGGGAAGGCCCAGACAGCCAGGAUGUUGGCUUAGAAGCAGCCAUCAUUUAAAGAAAGCGUAAUAGCUCACUGGUCGAGUCGGCCUGCGCGGAAGAUGUAACGGGGCUAAACCAUGCACCGAAGCUGCGGCAGCGACGCUUAUGCGUUGUUGGGUAGGGGAGCGUUCUGUAAGCCUGUGAAGGUGUGCUGUGAGGCAUGCUGGAGGUAUCAGAAGUGCGAAUGCUGACAUAAGUAACGAUAAAGCGGGUGAAAAGCCCGCUCGCCGGAAGACCAAGGGUUCCUGUCCAACGUUAAUCGGGGCAGGGUGAGUCGACCCCUAAGGCGAGGCCGAAAGGCGUAGUCGAUGGGAAACAGGUUAAUAUUCCUGUACUUGGUGUUACUGCGAAGGGGGGACGGAGAAGGCUAUGUUGGCCGGGCGACGGUUGUCCCGGUUUAAGCGUGUAGGCUGGUUUUCCAGGCAAAUCCGGAAAAUCAAGGCUGAGGCGUGAUGACGAGGCACUACGGUGCUGAAGCAACAAAUGCCCUGCUUCCAGGAAAAGCCUCUAAGCAUCAGGUAACAUCAAAUCGUACCCCAAACCGACACAGGUGGUCAGGUAGAGAAUACCAAGGCGCUUGAGAGAACUCGGGUGAAGGAACUAGGCAAAAUGGUGCCGUAACUUCGGGAGAAGGCACGCUGAUAUGUAGGUGAAGUCCCUUGCGGAUGGAGCUGAAAUCAGUCGAAGAUACCAGCUGGCUGCAACUGUUUAUUAAAAACACAGCACUGUGCAAACACGAAAGUGGACGUAUACGGUGUGACGCCUGCCCGGUGCCGGAAGGUUAAUUGAUGGGGUCAGCGCAAGCGAAGCUCUUGAUCGAAGCCCCGGUAAACGGCGGCCGUAACUAUAACGGUCCUAAGGUAGCGAAAUUCCUUGUCGGGUAAGUUCCGACCUGCACGAAUGGCGUAAUGAUGGCCAGGCUGUCUCCACCCGAGACUCAGUGAAAUUGAACUCGCUGUGAAGAUGCAGUGUACCCGCGGCAAGACGGAAAGACCCCGUGAACCUUUACUAUAGCUUGACACUGAACAUUGAGCCUUGAUGUGUAGGAUAGGUGGGAGGCUUGGAAGUGUGGACGCCAGUCUGCAUGGAGCCGACCUUGAAAUACCACCCUUUAAUGUUUGAUGUUCUAACGUUGACCCGUAAUCCGGGUUGCGGACAGUGUCUGGUGGGUAGUUUGACUGGGGCGGUCUCCUCCUAAAGAGUAACGGAGGAGCACGAAGGUUGGCUAAUCCUGGUCGGACAUCAGGAGGUUAGUGCAAUGGCAUAAGCCAGCUUGACUGCGAGCGUGACGGCGCGAGCAGGUGCGAAAGCAGGUCAUAGUGAUCCGGUGGUUCUGAAUGGAAGGGCCAUCGCUCAACGGAUAAAAGGUACUCCGGGGAUAACAGGCUGAUACCGCCCAAGAGUUCAUAUCGACGGCGGUGUUUGGCACCUCGAUGUCGGCUCAUCACAUCCUGGGGCUGAAGUAGGUCCCAAGGGUAUGGCUGUUCGCCAUUUAAAGUGGUACGCGAGCUGGGUUUAGAACGUCGUGAGACAGUUCGGUCCCUAUCUGCCGUGGGCGCUGGAGAACUGAGGGGGGCUGCUCCUAGUACGAGAGGACCGGAGUGGACGCAUCACUGGUGUUCGGGUUGUCAUGCCAAUGGCACUGCCCGGUAGCUAAAUGCGGAAGAGAUAAGUGCUGAAAGCAUCUAAGCACGAAACUUGCCCCGAGAUGAGUUCUCCCUGACCCUUUAAGGGUCCUGAAGGAACGUUGAAGACGACGACGUUGAUAGGCCGGGUGUGUAAGCGCAGCGAUGCGUUGAGCUAACCGGUACUAAUGAACCGUGAGGCUUAACCUUACAACGCCGAAG